UGGGGAAUAUUGCACAAUGGGGGAAACCCUGAUGCAGCAACGCCGCGUGAGUGAUGAAGGUUUUCGGAUCGUAAAGCUCUGUCUUCAGGGACGAUAAUGACGGUACCUGAGGAGGAAGCCACGGCUAACUACGUGCCAGCAGCCGCGGUAAUACGUAGGUGGCGAGCGUUGUCCGGAUUUACUGGGCGUAAAGGGAGCGUAGGCGGAUUUUUAAGUGAGAUGUGAAAUACCCGGGCUCAACUUGGGUGCUGCAUUUCAAACUGGAAGUCUAGAGUGCAGGAGA
rnacentral:rRNA from 1 species